GCAGGAACUAAUAGCCGAUUUUGAAGUUUCAGAAGGCACGCAUAGAGAAGUCAGACUCUAUAUGUGUGUGGCUGGGAGCAAGUGUCAUGCUGGAAUACACAAGUGAAGAGGUCCGCUUAUUGAGAAUUUGCAUAUCAAUAAUACUGCUUCUUUUCUUCUUCUAGCAGUACAUCAAUACUAGUGUACAGGAUAAAAAAUGAUUAUGUUCUUUUUGACGAAAUGUCACUCUUCUGUACCCUUAAACUCGUAAAUGUUAGCAUGUCCACGGAGUAAACAUUCACACCAGAAAGUUGGCUUUGGUUUGUAUUCUAUGAAAGCGUCUUAAAAUAAUUGUUAGUGCCUUGUGGUACUUAACGAUCAUCCAUGAAUCUUGUGUAAUUUGUAAAAGAGUUAAUUAGGUAUUCAUAUUCGUGUGCAACAAAAUCAGUGUUGCGUGGAAGAGAAGGAGAACUCACAUUACUCAGUUCUUCAGCUAGAUAAUCUCUACUCUCUUCAUCUCAUUCAGGAAAACAAGGGACUGUAAGUGAUUUGUUUAGGCAAUGGUUACUGAGCUGAAAACUUGGAAGGCCAGUCUUCUACAAAAGAAUCUUGAUAAUGCUAAAGCAAGCUUUAAGGGACCAAGUGAUGAUAAUGUUUCUGGUCCAUAUAGCUGAUCUACCAUUCUUAUGGACCAAGUGACGAUAACACAGGUCACUGUUGCUCGGGUGUAGAAAGCAAGUUACUGCAACUGCUGUGAAAGACUCGUAAAAGCUUUCUAUUAUCGCAUGGCCUUUUCAGCUUUUCCUAGUUACCCUAGUCAGAAAUGUUGUUUCAUAAAAUUCGCAACUUCAGAGGAUGCUAAGAGGGCCACCAGAGGAGCAUUGCACAAUCAAUACACUUUACCCGGGGUGAGUUUAAUAAAUGGUUCUCUUCCAGCACUUGCAACUUUACCGUCUCCAGUCCCUCAAGUGCCAGUUUCCUAGCCUCAGGUUGCACUUCCUCGUUACUGGACGAACAGACCUCCCCUGAAGGGCACAAUACUAUUAUAAUACUGUAACAAGUGAAAGCAGUGGGAGAAGCAGAAAUUACCUCAUCCACAAAAAUCUCCUGUUCAACAAUUCAAUCUCAGUCAAAAACGCAGGCGCAACUGCAGAUCCUAUCUACCCAACAAGCCCCUCGGUCACAACAAAGUCAGAUUCAACCGCAGAUGCAUCACCAGCAACAGUUGCAGCAACGUUCUUUAGUUUCACAGGAACAUGUUUUAGAGGAUAAAAGCAAGAUGCCAGCCAAAGCUUUGUUUACUUGAGGAGAGAAGGACGAUGCCACAAAGGAAGGAAAAUGAGAGAUACACAAUGGUUGAUGCGGCAAAUUGUAUGGUAGAGAUGCAUGCUAACAAGAGGCAAGAGCAGAAGUCUGAGAGUGCUGCACUGUGCUCUUCCUCUGUGGAAAAGGGGAAAAGUAAAUGAAAGGCAAUUGCUAAAUACUACCUCCAUUCCUAAAAAAGAGGUACUACCACUUUUCAUUUUAGCCUAAAAAUAGGCCGAACUGAUAAAAAUAAAAAAUAACUCUUUUUUAGGAACGGAGGGAGUAAUAAAUUACUUUUAUUACUAUUUAUUUGUUUGUGAAUCUUAAGAAGUGUACUUUUCUUUCUAAGGUUACAUUUUUGGAAGAUGGGGUAUCUGAUAAAGGCAUUCAUGUUGAUCCUUCUAAAAUUAAAGCUAUUCAAGAUUGGCAUAUUCUUACUUCAGUUAAAGAUAUUUCAAGCAAUUUUCAUGGCUUGCCUUCAUUUUAUGGAAGAUUUAUUAGAAAUUUCAGUAUUAUUGCAGCAUCCAUUACUGUAUGUCUCAAACAAGACAGAUUUGUUUGGACUGAAGAAACUGAUAAGAGUUUUUAUGUUCUUAAGCAGAAGUUGUGUACAGCUCCGAUUCUAGCUUUGCCUGACUUUUCUAAACCUUUUGUUAUUGAUUGUGAUGCUUCAAUCAUUGGCGUUAAGGCCAUCUAGUUGCUUUUCACAA